AUUGCCGUGGCUUUAAUGACAUACACGAGGAGGAUGAGGGGACAGGUACCGGUAAUUUACUGCAGCUCACAGACUCAUCCCUUUGGGAAUAUUUUGUCUUGCACUGUAAUUUGUUAGUCAAGAGAUUGCAAAAUUCCCCGAGGACGGCUGCCUUGUGCAGCAGGCUCUAUGCUUCACUGAAAGCGCUUAACUUAGGGGAGCUGGGAAAGGUAAUCGAGUGCGUUUAUAUUGAGAACUGGAGGGUCAGAUGAAACGCUUGAGGUGUUUUCUCCUUUACCCUUUCGCUCGACCACGUGGAGUAUGCAGGAUUCUAUGGACCCGAUCGUUCCCGUCGCUGGCCUUCCUGCCCUGCCUGGCCCCUGUGGGCUACCCUGUAAAAUGGAUAAUUUCACUUCUCUGUCUAAAACCCAGUCGUAUCAGUCCAUUGCUCUCAGGUUAAAAUCCGAAUUUCUUGGCCUGGAAAUGUGAAGGUUGUUACCUAACGCNNNNNNNNNNNNNNNNNCGAUGCUUUGCCGGUGGUGGAUUGAAUAAAUCUAAACAGGGCCGUCUCUGGUCUCCCCUGCAGGGCUUCCUGACUCCCUAAAGGAGACAGGUGCUUCUGCCUCCACCUGCCAGGACACCUUGUACACAGCCGUAUCGUUACACUGCAAGUCAAUCUAUGUCUUGUUUUUAAGAGCGGGGGACCCAGUUUUGAUAUCCUCAGUGCAGCUAACAAGUGUUCAUGAAAAGAUAAUGCCCCCCUCAAAAAAACCCACCUUAAAAUAGUAAGCUAUAGAGAUAGUAACAUUGGAUCAGUUAUUCACAAAUAUUUAUCGAAGACCUACUCUGUGGCCACAUGUGCGGAGAUGUGGGAUAUGAUGGAUUUUGCAGAACGGUUGCCUCGAGGAGACCUUGGUGGUGCUGUUUCCAGAGUGCACGGAUAAAUGUCUCCUUGAAGAGUUAAAAGGGAUAGUAGAUUUGUUAAAUGGAGAAGUUUAGUUCUGCAGUGACAAGGAGCAGAAAAAUGGGACGGUAGCUUGGAUGGGUGGCAGGGGCUGUAAAGAGAAGGGUGGUUUCUUUUGCAUGUUUCUAGACCAGAGAUCAUUAAGUAUAAAUGUAAGUAAACAAGGGACAACAACAGAAGUAGAGUUCUUGAGAGUCCAAAGACUAAUCAAAGGCACAGUGAAGACAUUUUAUUAUUAGUUUUUGCUUUUUAGGGCUGCACCCGUGGCAUACAGAGGUUCCCAGGCUAGGGGUCAGAUCAGAGCUAGAGCUGCCCGCCUACACUACAGCUCACACACAGCAAUGCUGAAUCCCCAACCCACUGAGUGAGGCCAGGGAUUGAACCUGCAACCUCAUGGCUCCUAGUUGGAUUGUUUCCGCUGUGCCACGAUGGGAACUCCGAAAACUAUUUUUUAAAUAAAAGUAAGGCCAAUUCCUCCUUCCAAACAAAAGGCAGAAUAUGAGCAUCAAGGCAGAUAGAUUUAGCAGUGGGAGAUGAAGCAGCUCUUGAUUUCAUCUGCUCUAUUCCCUAUAAAUUAUUAAAAUGGCUUUCUUCUUAGAAAUCUUUCUGAACUUCCCUUAAUUCCAUCAGAGUGCACUGGUAAAGCUGCAGCCGCCUUUCUAAAUUCAAGCUUAAAAAAUACUAGUCUACCCCCAAAAAGCCUGUAAUUUUACAGUUUUAAGGCUUUGUUAUUAGCAGGUAAACCUUAAGUUUGCAGACUAGGGGAAUAAAAGAAUGCCUAUACCUUUCACUGUUGCAAAGGGACUUUAGGCUUGGACCCUCUAUUUACAAGAAUCAUACAGUUCUGUGUCCUCUCAAAAACAUUAUAUAUGUUGGAGAUUUUAAUACAGUAUUCUGGACUUGCUUUUAAGUCAUCAGGAGUCUAAACUCCACUUGACCAGUGACCAGGAGGCCAAUUCUGUACUAGUACUGAUUCUUAAGAACAGUCUCUGUACAUCUUACCAGUUUUGAUACACAUUGCAGUUGUGUAGUUGGUUCUGCUACUCCCUACAUAUAUGUAGCUUGAUGUCCAUUUUCCUGCUGCAAGAGAGGAGACUUUCAGGGUCACACUGAUGAGCACUCUGCGGCACUUACUAGCCUUCUACUUAAACCCUGAGCCUGCUUCCGAUGUAUCAUCACAAAGAGGCCAGACUUAAAAACAGGGAAAAUAAAGGGCCUGGCACUAAUGCCCCUUAGCACCUCCAAAUUACAAGGCUGUUUAUUAGGCCAGUGUUGGCUUCUCUGCCUUGGCACUACUGACCAUAUCCAACGGAGGCAGUUUUGUUGAUGAUGUAGCAGCAGCCUUGGCCUCUAGUCCACAUGUUGGCUUUAGAAGACACUUUAAAAGGGCACUUUAUUUCCAGUUGCAAACAUUUAACUCUAAAAGCAGUUUCUCCCAGGGUGGGUGGGGAGACAACCCGUGUUUCCCAAACAUAAAUGCCAAUGGCCUAUUUGAAUUGGCAUCUCAGGGUGGAAUUUGAACAUCCCCAAAAAGCUGUUACCCAGCUGACUGAAGCAGCACCAUUUUACGCACAUGGUAGAGAACUAAAGUGGAUGAGUUCCCUUAUGCAGGAGCUUAAGAAUGCAGCACACCCACCCCCGGUCAAGAAAUAUUUGCAGGUUCUACUGCAUCCUGGGGUCACACCAGGGAAUCCAAAUAAAAGUCUGCACGCCCCCCAACCCCCAACAUGCGGUGUUUGGCCUGCCCUGGCCAACACUUGAUGGUUCCUUUUGCUUAUUAAGAUCUCUGCCUAAAUGGGAAAGCCAUCCAGCUGCUUGCUUCUGAGGCAGGAGACCAACCCCCCGCCCCCCCAUCCCUGGACAAUGGCCUAGCUAAGGAACCUCACACUCUCUGGGACCAUAAAUUCCAUUGGGGGCUUGACCCAAGGGGGAGAUUUUUCUUUUUGGUAAAUUAAAAGUCUUGAAAAAUUAAAUCCUAAUCCCUUAGUAUAUGGAAAAAUUUGCAUUUAAAAUAAGUCUGCAACUUUAACAAGCACCUGCUAUAUUCUUGAGGUAAAACAAGCUGGGGUUGGGGUGGUGGUGAACAGACGAGACAAAGGAAAAAUGUGGAAGAGAGUGACCCAAGAGAGUAAAUAACUUUUGCUUUAUUAGGCGCCAAGUCAAAUCUUGACUGUAGAAGGAAUUACUACCUGGCCCAAUCGUUUCACUACAGAUAGGGGCCAGAGAGAAACAAUACAUUGUACAGUCGACAAGAGUUAGUGCCAGAGCUGAGACAACCCAACCCUCUAGGUUUCCACCUUUUUUCAUCAUACAAAGUGGUUACCAUGUGCUGUCAACAAAGAAUUAAACUAUCAAGUCCGACACCAGCAAGGAAACAGACAUUUGUCAUAACAUGUAUUCUUACAAACACAACUGAGGCUCACCUCGUUACCUAGAUCGUUUAAAUCAUUAAAGGACUUUAAAAAGAGCAGUGUAGCAACAUGGUUAGAACAAUUUCAUUUCCCCCAUGUAUACCUCUCAAAUUAUUAGGAAACUGUACUUUUUAAUUUCAGUGAUAGCCAAAUUCCACAUGACUUUACACAGUUUAAAGAGCUCAUGAAACACUUUAUGCCCUUCUCUCUAAACCAGUCAACAAAUUAUGGCAUGCCUUAAUGCCCCAACCAAUGGAGAUUUAAUUUACCCUGCUGCUUACUUAGGACUUUCUGGUCAAAUUCUCAAGGUUUCCAUUUUAGAGCUGUGUUAUAUAUCAAAGCAGGAUGAUUGACGAUCUUAAUCUUUGCCAAACCACCCUGAAGUAUUUUCUCGUUCAAACUAGGUUCUUAUUUUUCCUAGCCAUUUAAGCUCCUAGGAAUUUUAGAUGUCGAGAACACACCCUGUGCACGGGAAUCAAUAUUACAUGGUUCGCUGGGAUCUGUUGUGGCUGGCCUUGGACACUUUUUGUUAACGAGUAGAAUCAGAAGAUCAUGCGAUGUUGCAGUAGGAGGAUUUAUCUUGGUAACUUUAGGAUGCUGGUUCCAUUGUAGAUAUAAUUAUGCAAAGCUAAGAAUCCAGGAAAGAGUUGCCAGAGAAGGAAUUAAAAACAAGAUUUUAUAUGAAAGUACCCACCUUGAUCCUGAAAGAAAAACCAACGGGAGCGGCAGGAGCCAUUGAGCAGUCUUGAGCAUAGAAAACCCAGAUAACCACUUCAGUGUGAACUACAGCAACAUUUUAUGUAUCAUGAGAGAGCUUUCAAUCAAGUAAAUAAAGUACUGUGUCAAG
ensembl:lncRNA